UAAACGCUGGCGGCGUGCUUAACACAUGCAAGUCGCACGAGAACUCUUUAAGCUUGCUUAAAGAUAGUAAAGUGGCGCACGGGUGAGUAACGCGUGGGUAAUCUACCCUUGAAUCCGGAAUAACUCGCCGAAAGGCGUGCUAAUACCAGAUAAAAUCAUUUCAACCUUGGUUUAAAUGAUCAAAGGUGGCCUCUACAUGUAAGCUACCGUUUAAGGAUGAACCCGCGUACCAUUAGCUUGUUGGUGGGGUAACGGCCUACCAAGGCGACGAUGGUUAGCUGGUCUGAGAGGAUGAUCAGCCACACUGGAACUGACACACGGUCCAGACUCCUACGGGAGGCAGCAGUGAGGAAUUUUGCGCAAUGGGGGAAACCCUGACGCAGCAACGCCGCGUGAGUGAUGAAGGCCUUCGGGUCGUAAAGCUCUGUCAAGUGGGAAGAACCUGAAAAAUGAUAAUACCAUUUUUUAUUGACGGUACCACUGAAGGAAGCACCGGCUAACUCC
rnacentral:rRNA from 1 species